rnacentral:rRNA from 1 species
GCGGCGAGUGGCGACGGGUGAGUAAUACAUCGGAACGUGUCCUGGAGUGGGGGAUAGCCCGGCGAAAGCCGGAUUAAUACCGCAUACGCUCUGUGAGAGGAAAGCGGGGGAUCUUCGGACCUCGCGCUCAAGGGGCGGCCGAUGGCAGAUUAGCUAGUUGGUGGGGUAAAGGCCUACCAAGGCGACGAUCUGUAGCUGGUCUGAGAGGACGACCAGCCACACUGGGACUGAGACACGGCCCAGACUCCUACGGGAGGCAGCAGUGGGGAAUUUUGGACAAUGGGGGCAACCCUGAUCCAGCAAUGCCGCGUGUGUGAAGAAGGCCUUCGGGUUGUAAAGCACUUUUGUCCGGAAAGAAAACUUCGUCCCUAAUACGG